rnacentral:rRNA from 1 species
AUUGAACGCUGGCGGCAGGCCUAACACAUGCAAGUCGAACGGUAACAGGAAGCAGCUUGCUGCUUCGCUGACGAGUGGCGGACGGGUGAGUAAUAUCUGGGAAACUGCCUGAUGGAGGGGGAUAACUACUGGAAACGGUAGCUAAUACCGCAUAACGUCGCAAGACCAAAGAGGGGGACCUUAGGGCCUCUUGCCAUCGGAUGUGCCCAGAUGGGAUUAGCUAGUAGGUGGGGUAACGGCUCACCUAGGCGACGAUCCCUAGCUGGUCUGAGAGGAUGACCAGCCACACUGGAACUGAGACACGGUCCAGACUCCUACGGGAGGCAGCAGUGGGGAAUAUUGCACAAUGGGCGCAAGCCUGAUGCAGCCAUGCCGCGUGUAUGAAGAAGGCCUUCGGGUUGUAAAGUACUUUCAGCGGGGAGGAAGGGAGUAAAGUUAAUACCUUUGCUCAUUGACGUUACCCGCAGAAGAAGCACCGGCUAACUCCGUG